rnacentral:rRNA from 1 species
CAUGCUCAGAACGAACGCUGGCGGCAUNCCUUAUACAUGCAAGUCGAACGAGAAAGUCACUUCGGUGGCGAGUACAGUGGCGCACGGGUGAGUAACGCGUAGAUAAUCUACCCCUCAGUCUGGGACAACUCUUGGAAACGGGAGCUAAUACCGGAUAAAACCUUCGGGUUGAAAGAUUUAUCGCUGGGGGAUGAGUCUGCGUACCAUUAGCUUGUUGGUGGGGUAACGGCCUACCAAGGCGACGAUGGUUAGCGGGUCUGAGAGGACGAUCCGCCACACUGGAACUGAGACACGGUCCAGACUCCUACGGGAGGCAGCAGUAGGGAAUAUUGCGCAAUGGGGGCAACCCUGACGCAGCAAUGCCGCGUGAGUGAAGAAGGCCUUCGGGUCGUAAAGCUCUUUUAUGGGGGAAGAUGAUGACGGUACCCCAUGAAUAAGCACCGGCUAACUACGUGCCAGCAGCCGCGGUAAUACGUAGGGUGCGAGCGUUGUUCGGAAUUACUGGGCGUAAAGGGCGUGCAGGCGGAUUGGUAAGCCGGAGGUGAAAGCCCGGGGCUCAACCCCGGAGGGUCUUUCGGAACUGCCAGUCUUGAGAGGGUCAGGGGCCAGCGGAAUUCCUGGUGUAGAGGUGAAAUUCGUAGAGAUCAGGAGGAACACCGGCGGCGAAAGCGGCUGGCUGGGGCCACUCUGACGCUGAGGCGCGAAAGCGUGGGGAGCAAACAGGAUUAGAUACCCUGGUAGUCCACGCCGUAAACGAUGGGCACUAAGCGUCCGACGGGUUCGACCCUGUUGGGUGCUGUAGUUNACGCGUU